GGGGAAUUUUCCGCAAUGGGCGAAAGCCUGAUGGAGCAAUCCCGCGUGCAGGAUGACACCUUUCGGGGCGUAAACUGCUUUUCUGAGGGAAGAAAUUCUGACGGUACCUCAGGAAUAAAGGGCGGCUAAUUACGUGCCAGCAGCCGCGGUAAUACAUAAGCCCUAAGCGUUAUCCGGAAUUAUUGGGCGUAAAGCGUUCGAAGGCGGAUCAGUCAAUCCGACGUUAAAUACCUACGGCUCAACCGAGGUUUCGUGUCGGAAACUGCUGGACUAGAGUAGUGCAGAGGCAGGUAGAAUUCCCAUUGUAGGGGUA
rnacentral:rRNA from 1 species